AUCAACGCUGGCGGCGCGCUUAACACCUGCAAGUCGCACGAGAAAGGGAGCAAUCCUGAGUAAAGUGGCGUACGGGUGAGUAACACGUGGGAAUCUACCUCUUGGCGGGGAAUAACCCUGGGAAACCGGGGCUAAUACCGCAUAAGCUCGUGAGAGGAAAGCAGCAAUGCACCGAGAGAGGAGCCCGCGGCCGAUUAGCUAGUUGGUGGGGUAAUGGCUCACCAAGGCGAAGAUCGGUAGCCGGCCUGAGAGGGCACACGGCCACACUGGCACUGAAACACGGGCCAGACUCCUACGGGAGGCAGCAGUGGGGAAUCUUGCACAAUGGGGGAAACCCUGAUGCAGCGACGCCGCGUGAGCGAUGAAGCCCUUCGGGGUGUAAAGCUCUUUCGACAGGAACGAUAAUGACGGUACCUGGAGAAGAAGCUGCGGCUAACUACGUG
rnacentral:rRNA from 1 species